GGCAAAGGAAGGGCAGGGCAGGCUUUAAGGACAGGGACAGGGCUGUCAGAGGCUGAGGCUAGGGAGGGGCAGGAAGGGGUGUGAGGCAGGGCGGAAGAGAGCAGGGCCCUGGGCAGGUGCUGAGCCAGGUCCUGCAGGUCACCCAGUCGCUUGAGUCCACGAAUGCUGGAGGCAGGCACUGGAGAGCCAGGGUGGUUCAGCCGCAGCUCCUCUGAGCAGGGAGUCAAACAGGUUUGGGUGACCCUUGUGAGCAAGGUCCCGGGGCAUCACUAAUUUCCACCCCCUUCUCUGGUAAUGACUCUGGUGCGGCCUGGCCCUGGCAGUCACAGCUCCUCUCUCUCCCUAUAGGGCUGAAACAGACACCAGCUCUCCAGGACCAGCUGCUCCAGGAAUCAACCUCUACCCUGAACCAGGUCCCUGAGGACCACCACGUGGCUGCAACACAGCAGGAGUUCACAGUCCAGAGGAGAAGCCCGAUGCUGAACAGAGAAUCACAUCCGUGAGCAACACAAAAGGCAAGGCAAACCCUGGGCAGAUGCCCCCGGGACUGUGUGUUAUGGGCCUACAGGAAGCCUCUCCCAAUGAAAAAGCAAUUUUUCAGCCAGAACCUCCACCAGUGUCUUUCAAACUGUCUCAAUCAAAAACCUCUGAAAGCCACUGGCCUAGAGUUAGAGGAAGAGUUAGCCAUGAGAAAUGGUGGUGACACAGGUUCCAAAAGAAGAAACAAUAGGAGCCUGGACCUGUGGCCUUCCCUGCCUCCACCUGGGCCUCAACCGUCACGACCACCUGGCCUUUGAGAAAUCAAAUGGCUCACGCUGUGUCUCAGAGCUGCAACGAUCCAACGCCCUCCAUCCUUCAGAGGCUGUCUGAGUCCGGGGACACAACUCCCACCCUCCUCUCCUGCCAGCCGCGGCCCGUGGCUGCUCUCUUCACUUCGUCCCGCUUCGCCCCGACUGUGGAUCUACCCGCUCCCUUCUCCCUCAGUCCCCAAAGCACCAGACUCACAGGCCUGCUGUGUGACCCACUUUUACCGACCUUUCGGGGAGAGUAGAGGGCAUUUGUGACUCAGCUCAGAGCAGGAAACACAUCUCACGUCAACUGUCAGACAGCGCUGCUCCGAAUCCCAUCACAGUGCUCCAGCAGGGGGCGUCCUCACCGGCCGCGGCCACAGCCACGGCUCAACCCGGCCUAGCUCCCAGACACCCUCCUUCCACCGCCUGUUUUCCACCGUCCCCGCCUGCUCUUUCAAGCCAGCAGCAAACAACACCCUAAUCCGUGUCUUUAUUAUUCAAAGACCUUAAGCACUCUUUCCCACCUCGUUCCCAUCUUGAUUAUUUCAGGGAAUGAAUUAGGGAUUCACCUUUACAAUCAAAAAAGUUCUCUCAAAGCCAGGCUACUGGAGUUCUAAUUCUGCCUUCCCACUUUUACUAGCUGUGAAAUCUCAGGAAAGUUACUUAACCUCUCUCUGUCUCAUUUUCCUCAUCUUUAAAAAACAGGAUGAUAAUAUUUAGCUCCUAAGAUGGUUGUGAGGAUUUAAGUGAGCUGAUAUAUCCAAGAAUGUCUAGAACAGCGCGUGGCAGAAUGGGCAUUGCAUAUGGGUUUAAUCUUGUAACUGCCAUGUUUCACCAAUUCUAAGGUGUAUCUCGUUUCUCAUCAUAAGAGCUCUUCCGCUCGUGUGGCAGCUGGGAGUGGCCGUCAUUGCCUGCGCAUACCUAAACUUGGUCAGGGCAGAAUGAUUGCUAGUCACACGUGAAGCAAGAAAACCCCGGCAAUAAAGCUUGCAGAAUGAGUGGCUGAGGCUUGAAAAUAAAUGGUGGAAACAAUAGUGGACAAUCUUUUAAAGAAUGGCACAUUGCCAAUGCUCCUGAUGGCACAGAAGGUGACACCAUGCAGAAAAUCAAGGCUCUGAGUCAAAGAGGGUUUCAGAAAAAUUGGACUCUGAAUGUGAAGAAAUCUGGGGACUAUUUUAGCCAAUUUGUUUUGCCUAUAAUUUCCUUUUAUGCAUGCAAAAGAGCAAUUCUGACUUUAAAGACUGAUAUCUAAAUAAAUCUAAAAUAUCUUUUUUGUGUGUGUGUCUGUGAUACAGUGUCUCGCCCUUUCACCCAGGCUGGAGUGCAGUAGUGCAAUCUCAGCUCACU
rnacentral:lncRNA from 1 species